AUGCAAGUCGAACGAAGUAGCAAUACUUAGUGGCAGACGGGUGAGUAACAUGUGGGUAUCUACCCUUUGGCCUGGAAUAACACGAGGAAACUUGUGCUAAUACCGGAUAAGUCUUUACGGAGAAAGCUUUAUGCACCAUUGGAUGAGCCCGCACUUGAUUAGUUUGUUGGUAGGGUAAUGGCCUACCAAGACUAUGAUCAAUAGCUGAUUUGAGAGGAUGAUCAGCCACAUUGGGACUGAGACACGGCCCAAACUCCUACGGGAGGCAGCAGUGGGGAAUCUUGCACAAUGGAGGAAACUCUGAUGCAGCGAUGCCGCGUGAGUGAAGAAGGCCUUUGGGUUGUAAAGCUCUUUCGUCGGGGAAGAAAAUGACUGUACCCGAAUAAGAAGGUCCGGCUAACUUCGUGCCAGCAGCCGCGGUAAUACGAAGGGACCUAGCGUAGUUCGGAAUUACUGGGCUUAAAGAGUUCGUAGGUGGUUGAAAAAGUUGGUGGUGAAAUCCCAGAGCUUAACUCUGGAACUGCCAUCAAAACUUUUCAGCUAGAGUAUGAUAGAGGAAAGCGGAAUUUCUAGUGUAGAGGUGAAAUUCGUAGAUAUUAGAAAGAAUACCAAUUGCGAAGGCAGCUUUCUGGAUCAUUACUGACACUGAGGAACGAAAGCAUGGGUAGCGAAGAGGAUUAGAUACCCUCGUAGUCCAUGCCGUAAACGAUGUGUGUUAGACGUUGGAAAUUUAUUUUCAGUGUCGCAGGGAAACCGAUAAACACACCGCCUGGGGAGUACGACCGCAAGGUUAAAACUCAAAUGAAUUGACGGGGACCCGCACAAGUAGUGGAGCAUGUGGUUUAAUUCGAAGAUACGCGCAGAACCUUACCAACAC
rnacentral:rRNA from 1 species